rnacentral:lncRNA from 1 species
UCAUGAUCAUGCUGUUAUUAAGUAUAAAACAGUAAUUUUGGACUUAUAUGAAUCUUUAAAAAUUAGUUAAACUCUUAAUUUUAUUUUCUCAAUAUCGUUUUGUCUUUUCAAUAAUUUUAAUUGAGAAAGUUCUGAUGAUGCUGAUGAUGGCAGUUCAAUGCUAUAAAAGUAAUCGAGUGCGGUAUUUGAGAAGCAAAGCCAGACAGGAAAAAAAGGGAACAUUUGUAGACGAAUCUUAAACAUAUUUACAGCAAGGGCGGAAGAAGCAUGGAAAGUAAAGGGUUAAAUGGGAGGCGUAAUCCACGGAUCACGUUGCUGGUUUCCAUUACAGUCACGUAUCUUCAAUUAUCUGGCCAAACUUGCCGGGGAGGAAGGGCAGAAAGACGAAUUAAUCUCAACCAGCUUUCUCUUGUCCCUUUUUUUCAGAGCCAAGAUCGUGUAUUUAAUCCGUGUGAAGUGAUAAAGUUUCUUUUAUUAAGUGAUUUAUGUUGCGUUGUUAUAAUUGCUUUACUUCUCGUCUACAAAUAGAAGGAACGGAU